rnacentral:rRNA from 2 species
UAAUGGGUCAGCGACUUAUAUUCUGUAGCAAGGUUAACCGUAUAGGGGAGCCGAAGGGAAACCGAGUCUUAACUGGGCGUUAAGUUGCAGGGUAUAGACCCGAAACCCGGUGAUCUAGCCAUGGGCAGGUUGAAGGUUGGGUAACACUAACUGGAGGACCGAACCGACUAAUGUUGAAAAAUUAGCGGAUGACUUGUGGCUGGGGGUGAAAGGCCAAUCAAACCGGGAGAUAGCUGGUUCUCCCCGAAAGCUAUUUAGGUAGCGCCUCGUGAACUCAUCUUCGGGGGUAGAGCACUGUUUCGGCUAGGGGGUCAUCCCGACUUACCAACCCGAUGCAAACUGCGAAUACCGAAGAAUGUUAUCACGGGAGACACACGGCGGGUGCUAACGUCCGUCGUGAAGAGGGAAACAACCCAGACCGCCAGCUAAGGUCCCAAAGUCACAGUUAAGUGGGAAACGAUGUGGGAAGGCUCAGACAGCCAGGAUGUUGGCUUAGAAGCAGCCAUCAUUUAAAGAAAGCGUAAUAGCUCACUGGUCGAGUCGGCCUGCGCGGAAGAUGUAACGGGGCUAAACUGUGCACCGAAGCUGCGGCAGCGACGCUUAUGCGUUGUUGGGUAGGGGAGCGUUCUGUAAGCCUGCGAAGGUGUCCUGUGAGGGAUGCUGGAGGUAUCAGAAGUGCGAAUGCUGACAUAAGUAACGAUAA